AACGCACGAGACCUGCGGACCUGCGGAAGGAUCAUUACAGGACUCGCAAGACUCCUACAACCCUGUGAACUUAACUAUAAGCACGUUGCUUCGGCGGGUGUCUCGGCGAGGGUUCUCCCUCCCCGGGGCGCUAAGCCCGCCGGCAGCCUACUAUACUCUGUCUCUUUGCGUUGGCAUCUCGAGUACAAACAAACAAGUUAAAACUUUCAACAAUGGAUCUCUAGAUCGGAAGAGCACACG
rnacentral:misc_RNA from 1 species